rnacentral:rRNA from 1 species
GCGUGCCUAUACUGCAAGUUGAGCGCUGAAGGUUGGUACUUGUACCGACUGGAUGAGCAGCGAACGGGUGAGUAACGCGUGGGGAAUCUGCCUUUGAGCGGGGGACAACAUUUGGAAACGAAUGCUAAUACCGCAUAACAACUUUAAACACAAGUUUUAAGUUUGAAAGAUGCAAUUGCAUCACUCAAAGAUGAUCCCGCGUUGUAUUAGCUAGUUGGUGAGGUAAAGGCUCACCAAGGCGAUGAUACAUAGCCGACCUGAGAGGGUGAUCGGCCACAUUGGGACUGAGACACGGCCCAAACUCCUACGGGAGGCAGCAGUAGGGAAUCUUCGGCAAUGGACGAAAGUCUGACCGAGCAACGCCGCGUGAGUGAAGAAGGUUUUCGGAUCGUAAAACUCUGUUGGUAGAGAAGAACGUUGGUGAGAGUGGAAAGCUCAUCAAGUGACGGUAACUACCCAGAAAGGGACGGCUAACUACGUGCCAGCAGCCGCGGUAAUACGUAGGUCCCGAGCGUUGUCCGGAUUUAUUGGGCGUAAAGCGAGCGCAGGUGGUUUAUUAAGUCUGGUGUAAAAGGCAGUGGCUCAACCAUUGUAUGCAUUGGAAACUGGUAGACUUGAGUGCAGGAGAGGAGAGUGGAAUUCCAUGUGUAGCGGUGAAAUGCGUAGAUAUAUGGAGGAACACCGGUGGCGAAAGCGGCUCUCUGGCCUGUAACUGACACUGAGGCUCGAAAGCGUGGGGAGCAAACAGGAUUAGAUACCCUGGUAGUCCACGCCGUAAACGAUGAGUGCUAGAUGUAG